CCUACGUGUGGCAGCAGUGAGGAAUAUUGGUCAAUGGCCGCAGGGCUGAACCAGCCAAGUCGCGUGAAGGAUGACGGUCCUAUGGAUUGUAAACCUCUUUUGUAAAGGAGCAAAACGAGCCACGUGUGCCGCUUUGCGUGUACCUGAAGAAAAAGCAUCGGCUAACUCCGUGCCAGCAGCCGCGGUAAUACGGAGGAUGCGAGCGUUAUCCGGAUUUAUUGGGUUUAAAGGGAGCGUAGAUGGGUUGUUAAGUCAGUUGUGAAAGUUUGCGGCUCAACCGUAAAAUUGCAAUUGAUACUGGCAGUCUUGAGUACAGUUGAGGUAGGCGGAAUUCGUGGUGUAGCGGUGAAAUGCUUAGAUAUCACGAAGAACCCCGAUUGCGAAGGCAGCUUACUAAACUGUGACUGACAUUGAUGCUCGAAAGUGUGGGUAUCAAACAGGAUUAGAUACCCGAGUAGUC
rnacentral:rRNA from 1 species